AUUGAACGCUGGCGGCAUGCCUUACACAUGCAAGUCGAUCGGUAACGCGGGGGCAACCCUGGCGACGAGAGGCGGACGGGUGAGGAACGCUUGGGAAUCUGCCUAUCAGCGGGGGACAACCCGGGGAAACUCGGGCUAAUACCGCAUACGCUCUACGGAGGAAAGCCGGGGACCGCAAGGCCUGGCACUGAUAGAUGAGCCCAAGUCGGAUUAGCUAGUUGGCGGGGUAACAGCCCACCAAGGCGACGAUCCGUAGCUGGUCUGAGAGGACGAUCAGCCACACUGGGACUGAGACACGGCCCAGACACCUACGGGUGGCAG
rnacentral:rRNA from 1 species